rnacentral:rRNA from 1 species
AUGAGGUUGACGCUAUAUCCAGUGCUUGAUUCGAUGCUCAUACUGGGGCUGACGAGAAUUCAGCGUAUUCUGAUGGAGCUACUCAAUCAGCUAUUAAUGCUGGAAAGAGUGGCAGAGGGCGCAUUGAGGAGUGGUAGCCUAAUUAGAGGUUUCCAACUCAAGGUACCAUUGGUCGAACACAAGAUGUCUUUGUGGAUCAAGGAGCACCUUGAGACUUCAUCUACGCUGAAGAAGCUACUUUUGAUGCUUGUUCUCUUUGGUACUUCUAUGGUCAUAGCGGAUGGUGUUGUCUGUUGUCACACCAGCAAUAUCAGGAAUGCAAAGGCUAGUCUGCUCCCUAACUAA